GCGCCCAGCCGGAUACCCGUCCGCCAGAGCUUCGGUGUCGUCGUUUGGGGACCCCCCGAAUCCUACACGGGCCCACGCCCUGGGGAUCUGGAGAAGGUGGGGAGAAGGUCCACAGCCCCCGCUGGUGAUACUUGUUAGGGACUUUCUCAGCGCUACACGCUUUUUUUGCGUUGUGCCACUUACACAACGGCCCUAAGAGGAGAGAGUCCUGACAGACAUAGAGUCCCAGCUUGGAACAUCCACUCUUAGGAAGGGGAUUUGAAACAUCAGGUCCUUCUCUCUCUGCACCACACACUUCUAUAGCUUGCCCUGGAGCUGGCGCUGGGAAGGAACUUGGAGGAUGUGUGCUCUGGGAGCCAUGAGACAGCCAGAUUUCUCUGAAGAGUUGUCUGACCUCAUUGGCCUCAUCCCUCCCCCAGCCACACCUGCCUCAAUGUCUCUGUCAAGGACGCCCCUCCAGAGUGUUAGAAGAACGGUGUCUGCUAAGAUCCCUGUGACCUUUGCAUUACUAAAUCAAAUGUACACUUUCAGUCUUCAACUUUUGUGUGUUCUCGGCAGUGUCCUAAAUCUAGAGAGUGGGGUCAUAUGGACCUCCUUAGGUCCAGCUGCGGAGGGACAGACCACAUAGAGUCGACGGCAUGAUAGUUCUCAGUGAUUCACCCCUCCGUGGAUGGGUGCCCUCCAUGACGGGACCCUGUGGGUCCUCCUGCUGGACGUGGAGUAUCCUUCCCUACUCUGCUGGUGUUGGGAUUGGCCCAGGGGAGUAGGGGCAGAAGGAAGGGCAUGCCAGAAUGAGCCCAGGACUUCUGACGCAUUGCGUGGGUCUACUCAUAUUCCUGGACUGCUACCAUUGUCAAGAGAAAAAGAUGCUCUGGUUCCAGAAAUACGAGAGACAUGUGAGAAGAGCUGCUCCAGGUGCCCC